CUCUGCUGCCGGCCCGCCCAGUGCUGUCUCCUCCAUCCUGGGCACCUGGCUGAACCAGUACUCAGAGGACUUCUGUCAGCCCCCCGACUUCCCCUGCCUCAGGCAGCUGGUGGCCUACGUACAGCUCAACAUGCCCGGCUCCUGGCCCAGCUAGAGCACGCGGACCUCGACGAGGCAGAGCCGGAGGCUCCAGCGUCAGCUCCAUCCGGAAUCAGAGGUGACAGGAGCCAGGUGCAGGGGCAGAAAGGUCAAGGCAGCCCCAGAGCCUGCGUCCGCCUUCAGCUCGAGCGCUCCCCCUACUGGCGGCUCCAGAGCGGCUCCGACACCAGCACCGGUUCCAUUAGCAGCUCCGAACGAGAAGAGGAGGCCGCUCAGGUCCUCCCCGGGACCCGCCCCCGGGGCCAGCUCCCAGCCCACACCUUCCACCUGCUUCCCAAACAGGACUUUUCUUCCCCGCUCCCCCGUGAUGGGGCUUUUUGUCUUCAGUUCAGUUCAGUGGCUCAGUCGUGUCCGACUCUUUGCGACCCCGUGGACUGCAGCAGGCCAGGCCUCCCUGUCCAUCACCAACUCCCGGAGUUUACCCAAACUCUUGUUCACUGAGUCGGUGAUGCCAUCCAAGCAUCUCAUCCUCUGUCGUCCCCUUCUCCCGCCUUCAGUCUUUCCCAGCAUCAGGGUCUUUUCCAGUGAGUCAGCUCUUUGCAUCUUUUUGUCUUGGGGCUUCUUUUUUUUCCUCUCUACACUCUUAUAUUAGAUGAUUUAGAAUAUUCAAAUAUAAUAGUAUUUCAGCCGUCAUCAUUUUGAGUCGUACAGUUCAUGAGCAUUAAGUACCUUCAUGAUGCUGUAUGGCUGCCACUGCUCUCUCGGUGGAGAACAUCUCACCCCCCGAAAGGGAACCCUGUGCCCAAAGCGCUCACUCUCCUUUCCUCCUUCCUCCAGCCCCUGGCCACACCUAAUCUGUUUCUUUACCUAUUCUAGAUAUUUCCUAUCAAUGGAAUCAUAUAGUAAAUGUCUUUUUGUGUCUUCCUGCAUCUUUGAAGAAAGACUAAUUUUUGGUUUAUGUCGUUAUUUGAAAAAAAAAAAAAGCACAUUUGAUUUGCAAGGGAAAUCCCAGAUGGAUUAAAGCACUGUUAGUAAAUUUGUGCAUAACUUCAGGGUAGAGAUCCCUGUACUGAGUGUGACACCAGAGUUAGAAGUCAUAAGGAAAACGGCUGACUGUUCCUGUGGCAAAAACAAACCAAAAAAAAAAAUGCAGAAAGUGGAAAGAUAAAUCACAAAUGCUAUCUGCUUAGUCGCUCAGGCAUGUCCAACUCUUUGUGACCUCGUGGACUGUAGCCCACCAGGCUCCUCUGUCCACGGGAUUCUCCAGGCAAGAAGAGUGGAGUGAGUUGCCAUGCCCUCCUCCAGGGGCAUCUUCCCAACCCAGGGAUCCAACCCAGGGCUCCCGCAUUUCGGGUGGAUUCUUUACCAUCUGAGCCACCAGGGAAGCCCCCAUGUCCCAGGGAAAUGCUUAACACCUC
rnacentral:lncRNA from 1 species